CCUACGGGUGGCAGCAGUAGGGAAUAUUGCUCAAUGGGGGAAACCCUGAAGCAGCAACGCCGCGUGGAGGAUGAAGGUUUUCGGAUUGUAAACCUCUUUUGUUAGAGAAGAUAAUGACGGUAUCUAACGAAUAAGCACCGGCUAACUCCGUGCCAGCAGCCGCGGUAAUACGGAGGGUGCAAGCGUUACUCGGAAUCACUGGGCGUAAAGCGCGCGUAGGCGGGAUAGCAAGUCAGAUGUGAAAUCCUAGGGCUUAACCAUAGAACUGCAUUUGAAACUGUUAUUCUAGAGUAGUGGAGGGGUAGGUGGAAUUGUGGGUGUAGGCGUAAAAACCGAA
rnacentral:rRNA from 1 species